GUGAGUAGUUCAGAGUUUGAUCCUGGCUCAGGAUGAACGCUGGCGGCGUGCCUAACACAUGCAAGUCGAACGAAGCGGCUCAAAGUUUUCGGACAGAGAGUUGACUGAGUGGCGGACGGGUGAGUAACGCGUGGGUAACCUGCCUCAUACAGGGGGAUAACAGUUAGAAAUGACUGCUAAUACCGCAUAAGCGCACAGUACCGCAUGGUACCGUGUGAAAAGCCGAGACGGUAUGAGAUGGACCCGCGUCUGAUUAGCUAGUUGGUGGGGUAACGGCCCACCAAGGCGACGAUCAGUAGCCGACCUGAGAGGGUGACCGGCCACAUUGGGACUGAGACACGGCCCAA
rnacentral:rRNA from 1 species